CCAGGGAACUCCUAGCACCAUUACCACUAUAGUGCUUUGUAGUGGUGAUGGUGCUUGGAGUGUUCCUUUA